rnacentral:lncRNA from 1 species
UAAUGUUGUGUUCACUCGGAGUGGCAACAUCGUUCCUGUGGGAAAGUUAACGACUAGCUUGGAUCAAUUUCUAACAGCUCUUGUCCCAUAGUUAGAAAGCCAGGAAAUUUUUGAGAGCAUAAAUUGAAGAGGACUAUCUGAAAGCACAAGGAAUGCUAAAGGAUGACCUUACAUGCAAGACUAAUAACUUGCAGUCUGAAAAGAAGAUGAUAGAAGAGAAAAAGAGUGCAAAGAUGUGUUUAUGUUUCUACGCAGUAUUGCUACAGAAUAAAUUCAGUUGUGAAGUAAUAACAUUGGUAAUUGUAUGAGCAACAAUAAUUUUCCAGAAUAAUAUCAGUUGUUACGGUUGCUAUUUUUAGUAGGGAAAGUUUCUUGUGAUUGAACAGUCAGUAAGUAUAUUUUCUGUUCUAAUAUUCAUUUCAGAAUUAUUUCAUGAAAGUUAUUAAAUGUGUGCCUAUUAAAAACUCCAAAUGUCUAUUAAGAUAAAAGUUCUCAGGACUCCCACUAACCAAUAUGAUCAUAAUUUUGGGAUACAGCAUAAUUCACAUGCUGGAUUCUGAUAAAAAAAAAUCACUAUAGCUCUUGUUUUUCCAAACAUUUUAUUUAAUAUUAAGUAUAGUAACAGUGAAGGUGAAGAGGAUGAUCCACCACCCAAGGAAAAGGUCCCAAAGUAAGGAAAUAAUUUAUAGCCUACUGCAUCAUCACUGCUUGGCCCACCACAAAACAUUACAAUAUCACCGGAGUCGCAGGCAUGUUCAGUCUUCUGACCUCCUUCUGUGCUAAUCACAACCUCAAGUCCAACAUCCACCCAAGGCUUUUCAAAAAUGACCUUACCACCAACAUCUCCAGCAGCCAUCUCACCAUCAUCACCAAAAUCCUUACAGAUGAUAUAAACACCCGGGAAUCUACCACACGCCAACAAGUCAGUGCUUCAACACUGCUAUUCAGCAGAGCAAGUGGACGCUAGCCAGCAGAAUACAACUUCACACCAGCGAGCAGAUUUGUGAGUCAAAGAACUGGCAGUACAUCAAUACCCUGCAAUGAUCUCAGUUCUAGCAGCUAUUGGUGGCAAAGACGUCAAGCAUGUCUCUUGGAAUAUAGUGGCUCAUACAUUUUACCCAAGAAAAUUAAUUGGAAAGGGAUCAAUGGCAAACAGUCGUUUGACACAUUAACCACAAAGGCUUUAACCACUCGUACGUUUACAUGUACAUUGUAAAUAUACUUUAAAGGUUAGAUAUAUGUAAUAUUAUUAGUCCAAUAUUUAUAGCCAAAAACUACAUUGAGCAAUUUAAUAAAAUACCGGGAAUAUUCCAGUUCAUUGUUAAUGCAUUUUUAUCUUGCAUUCAGAUUUCUACAGUUUAUUGUCUAGAUGCAUUUUACUUCAUUAGUUUUUGUGAAAUAUUAUAGCGAUUUUCUGAUGUACUUGGAAGUAAUUUUUUUAAUGAAUUUAUAGUGGUUCAGUGUUCAGAAAGUUACAACUCUCAGACAUGUUUUACACGUUGCUGAUGAGCUUAUAUACUGUAUUAUCCUAAUUAAAUCGCACCCAAUUUUGACAAUUAGCUUCUUGUCAUGGUUUUUUAAGAUUUCUGAAAUUCAGAUUUCUGUUCACAAAAACACACUGGGCAAAAAUGUUCCUGAUGAGGAGGUGUCCAGGAACGCCAUCAGCUGGUUUAACCUGGCGUCAGAUAGCAGUGGGAGGUGUUGAGUCAAGGUUGCCAAAAUAAAGUCCUAAUUGGUUAAUGUUUUACCAUUAAACAAUAAACAUUAUGUUUUAACAAAAUGUAUUUGAUCAUAUUGGUAUAAUCAUUCCUAAAAUAACAUUUUGUGUUUUUUCAGAAUGGAAUAUUUUGCAAUA